UUUAGGGGGAGUGUUGGCCCAAGAGACCUAAAGCCCGCUGCUAUACGUGCGGGCGCGUGUGUCGCGGCCCGACAGCCUGGGUGGGCGCGCCGUGUGUGCGGGCGGCCCCGACGGACACACCAUGUGUCGGCUGUCCGGUUCCAACAAUUGGUAUCAAAGCCAGGUUGGCCCAGUGCAUUCUCAGACAAAUCUCGGCUCACAAUGUGUGAGGGGGAGAUUGUUGGGAAUAGUCCCACAUUGUUUGGUGAGAGUGUGAAAGCAUGGUUUAUAAGGUUGAGGGUGCAACCCCUAUGAGGCUAGCUUUUUGGGGGGAGUGUUGGCCCAAGAGACCUAAAGCCCGCUGCUAUACGUGCGGGCGCGUGUGUCGCGGCCCGACAGCCUGGGUGGGCGCGCCGUGUGUGCGGUCGGCCCCGACGGACACGCCGUGUGUCGGCGGUCCGGUUCCAACAAUUGGUAUCAGAGCCAGGUUGGCCCAGUGCAUUCUCAGACAAAUCUCGGCUCACAAUGUGUGAGGGGGAGAUUGUUGGGAAUAGUCCCACAUUGUUUGGUGAGAGUGUGAAAGCAUGGUUUAUAAGGUUGAGGGUGCAACCCCUAUGAGGCUAGCU
rnacentral:lncRNA from 1 species